rnacentral:rRNA from 1 species
CCUACGGGGGGCUGCAGUGGGGAAUAUUGGACAAUGGGGGCAACCCUGAUCCAGCCAUGCCGCAUGUGUGAAGAAGGCCCUCGGGUUGUAAAGCACUUUCAGUGAGGAAGAACGCCUGGUGGUUAAUACCCAUCAGGAAAGACAUCACUCACAGAAGAAGCACCGGCUAACUCCGUGCCAGCAGCCGCGGUAAUACGGAGGGUGCGAGCGUUAAUCGGAAUUACUGGGCGUAAAGCGCGCGUAGGUGGCUUGAUAAGCCGGUUGUGAAAGCCCCGGGCUCAACCUGGGAACGGCAUCCGGAACUGUCAAGCUAGAGUGCAGGAGAGGAAGGUAGAAUUCCCGGUGUAGCGGUGAAAUGCGUAGAGAUCGGGAGGAAUACCAGUGGCGAAGGCGGCCUUCUGGACUGACGCUGACACUGAGGUGCGAAAGCGUGGGUAGCAAACAGGAUUAGAUACCCUAGUAGUC